rnacentral:rRNA from 1 species
UACAGAGGGGGCAAGCGUUGUUCGGAAUUACUGGGCGUAAAGGGCGCGUAGGCGGCCUGUUAAGUCGAACGUGAAAUCCCCGGGCUCAACCCGGGAACUGCGUCCGAUACUGGCAGGCUUGAAUCCGGGAGAGGGAUGCGGAAUUCCAGGUGUAGCGGUGAAAUGCGUAGAUAUCUGGAGGAACACCGGUGGCGAAGGCGGCAUCCUGGGACCGGCAUUGACGCUGAGGCGCGAAAGCCAGGGGGAGCAAAACGGG